UACGUAGGCAGCGAGCGUUGUUCGGAAUUACUGGGCGUAAAGAGUGUGUAGGCGGUGUUCCAAGUUCGGUGUGAAAUCUCCCGCUUAACUGGGAGGGUGCGCCUGAAAACUGGAAUGCUCGAGCGUGGGAGAGGGAAAGCGGGAAUUCCGUGGAUGUAGCGGUGAAAUGCGUAGAUAUCAGGAGGAACACCAGCGGUGUAGACGGCUUUCUGGACCAUUGCUGACGCUGAGACACGAAAGCGUGGGUAGCAAACAGG
rnacentral:rRNA from 1 species